AGAUACAACAUUUUAUCAAAUGAUUUUAGAACAACCAUAUAUUAUGGCAAUACAAAUGGAAACAAAUUUGUUUUAUGAUGGUUUAGCCUUUGGAUAGAUACAUAAUAAAAAUAAAAAGAAAGUGGUAUAAUUUUUAAUUAUGUAUCAAAGAUAUGAAUCUCAAAGAACUAAAAUUUCAAUACACUCUUAUAUCAUUCAAAAAGACUAGAAAAUCAAUCAAGGAUGAUAUAAUAUCAAACUAGAAUGGCUAUUGCUAAAGACAAAAAGACUAAAAGUCUUGAAACAAGACUAAAGACUAAAAAGGCAUUGACAAGCAUGAAAAAGGCUUUAUUCUUACCUCUAUAUAUAUUCUUAAUUAAGAGCUAUGUAGCAAUGUCUUAUAAGACCUCUAAA
rnacentral:lncRNA from 1 species